GACGAACGCUGGCGGCGUGCUUAACACAUGCAAGUCGAACGAAGAGCGACGGAAGCUUGCUUCUAUCAAUCUUAGUGGCGAACGGGUGAGUAACGCGUAAUCAACCUGCCCUUCAGAGGGGGACAACAGUUGGAAACGACUGCUAAUACCGCAUACGAUCUAACCUCGGCAUCGAGGAUAGAUGAAAGGUGGCCUCUACAUGUAAGCUAUCACUGAAGGAGGGGAUUGCGUCUGAUUAGCUAGUUGGAGGGGUAACGGCCACCAAGGCGAUGAUCAGUAGCCGGUCUGAGAGGAUGAACGGCCACAUUGGGACUGAGACACGGCCCAGACUCCUACGGGAGGCAGCAGUGGGGAAUCUUCCGCAAUGGACGAAAGUCUGACGGAGCAACGCCGCGUGAGUGAUGACGGCCUUCGGGUUGUAAAGCUCUGUUAAUCGGGACGAAAGGCCUUCUUGCGAAUAGUGAGAAGGAUUGACGGUACCGGAAUAGAAAGCCACGGCUAACUACGUG
rnacentral:rRNA from 1 species